GACGAACGCUGGCGGCGUGCUUAACACAUGCAAGUCGAACGAAGAGCGAUGGAAGCUUGCUUCUAUCAAUCUUAGUGGCGAACGGGUGAGUAACGCGUAAUCAACCUGCCCUUCAGAGGGGGACAACAGUUGGAAACGACUGCUAAUACCGCAUACGAUCUAAUCUCGGCAUCGAGGAUAGAUGAAAGGUGGCCUCUACAUGUAAGCUAUCACUGAAGGAGGGGAUUGCGUCUGAUUAGCUAGUUGGAGGGGUAACGGCCCACCAAGGCGAUGAUCAGUAGCCGGUCUGAGAGGAUGAACGGCCACAUUGGGACUGAGACACGGCCCAGACUCCUACGGGAGGCAGCAGUGGGGAAUCUUCCGCAAUGGACGAAAGUCUGACGGAGCAACGCCGCGUGAGUGAUGACGGCCUUCGGGUUGUAAAGCUCGGUUAAUCGGGACGAAAGGCCUUCUUGCGAAUAGUGAGAAGGAUUGACGGUACCGGAAGAGAAAGCCACGGCUAACUACGUG
rnacentral:rRNA from 1 species